rnacentral:rRNA from 1 species
AGAGUUUGAUCAUGGCUCAGGAUGAACGCUAGCGGCAGGCUUAACACAUGCAAGUCGAGGGGUAUAAGUCUUCGGAUUUAGAGACCGGCGCACGGGUGCGUAACGCGUAUGCAAUCUACCUUUUACAGAGGGAUAGCCCAGAGAAAUUUGGAUUAAUACCUCAUAGUAUAUAGAGUUGGCAUCAACACUAUAUUAAAGUCACAACGGUAAAAGAUGAGCAUGCGUCCCAUUAGCUUGUUGGUAAGGUAACGGCUUACCAAGGCUACGAUGGGUAGGGGUCCUGAGAGGGAGAUCCCCCACACUGGUACUGAGACACGGACCAGACUCCUACGGGAGGCAGCAGUGAGGAAUAUUGGUCAAUGGACGCAAGUCUGAACCAGCCAUGCCGCGUGCAGGAUGACGGUCCUAUGGAUUGUAAACUGCUUUUGCACAGGAAGAAACAACUCUACGUGUAGAGUCUUGACGGUACUGUGAGAAUAAGGAUCGGCUAACUCCGUGCCAGCAGCCGCGGUAAUACGGAGGAUCCAAGCGUUAUCCGGAAUCAUUGGGUUUAAAGGGUCCGUAGGCGGUUUAGUAAGUCAGUGGUGAAAGCCCAUCGCUCAACGGUGGAACGGCCAUUGAUACUGCUAAACUUGAAUUAUUAGGAAGUAACUAGAAUAUGUAGUGUAGCGGUGAAAUGCUUAGAGAUUACAUGGAAUACCAAUUGCGAAGGCAGGUUACUACUAAUGGAUUGACGCUGAUGGACGAAAGCGUGGGUAGCGAACAGGAUUAGAUACCCUAGUAGUCC